GACGUAGGGGGCGAGCGUUGUCCGGAAUCAUUGGGCGUAAAGGGCUCCUAGGCGGUUCAGUAAGUCGACUGUGAAAAUCCAAGGCUCAACCUUGGGACGCCAGUCGAUACUGCUGUGACUCGAGUUCGGUAGAGGAGUGUGGAAUUCCUGGUGUAGCGGUGAAAUGCGCAGAUAUCAGGAGGAACACCAACGGCGAAGGCAGCACUCUGGGCCGAUACUGACGCUGAAGAGCGAAAGCGUGGGGAGCAAACAGGAUUAGAAACCCCCGUAGUCC
rnacentral:rRNA from 1 species